AUGUGUCGUGCUGGGUGGACCAGACUGUACCAGGCACCAUGUGUCAUGCUGGGUGGACCAGACUGUACCAGGCACCAUGUGUCAUGCUGGGUGGACCAGACUGUACCAGGCACCAUGUGUCAUGCUGGGUGGACCAGACUGUACCAGGCACCAUGUGUCAUGCUGGGUGGACCAGACUGUACCAGGCACCAUGUGUCAUGCUGGGUGGACCAGACUUCUGUAUCACUGUGGUGGACUUUUGGAGGAGGCAGCAGACUUGACGUGGGAAGUGACACCACUCCCAAACUGACAGUGCUGCCCCCCCUGGACACCAGCGGGAGUUCGGCCACGCUCAUGUGCCUGGCUAACGGAGGCUUCCCGUCCGACUGGAGUCUGAGCUGGUCUGUAGCGGGGAGCAGCAGGAGCGGGGAGACCAGUCUCUGGGGCCCACAGAAGGACGGCCUGUACAGCUGGAGCAGCACCCUGACCCUCCCUCUCCAGGAGUGGACCCAGGACGUCCCAGUGACCUGCCAGGCAACACGGGGCUCCCAGACUGUCACCAAGAUCCUGAAGAAAUCAGACUGCUCCUAGGCUCUGCUUUAAUGUCUGCCAUUAUUCUGAUUUAGAGUGUGUCUGAUAGGGACUCUUCCUCUCUUCCUCUCUUUAUGUGUGUUUCCUUUCUUUUUUGUGUGCAGCACUGAGUGAGGUUUUUUUUUUUAAAUCAUACCUUUGUUAUUCUCACUCUUUCAUAUUCUGUCAUAUUUGAAAGUCUGAAGA